rnacentral:tRNA from 1 species
UCCCUGGUGGUCCAGUGGUUAAGAUUCAGUGCUUUCAUUACUACAGCCCGGGUUCAGUCCCUGGUCUGGGAA